GGGCCCUUAGCUCAGCUGGUUAGUAGCACCUGACUCAUAAUCAGGGGGUCGCUGGUUCGAACCCAGCAGGGCCCACCA
rnacentral:tRNA from 1 species